UACGGAGGGAGCUAGCGUUGUUCGGAAUUACUGGGCGUAAAGCGCACGUAGGCGGCUUUGUAAGUUAGAGGUGAAAGCCCGGGGCUCAACCCCGGAAUUGCCUUUAAGACUGCAUCGCUUGAAUCCAGGAGAGGUGAGUGGAAUUCCGAGUGUAGAGGUGAAAUUCGUAGAUAUUCGGAAGGAAACACCAGUGGCGAAGGGCGGCUCACUGGACUGGUAUUGA
rnacentral:rRNA from 1 species